AGUAGGGAAUCUUCCGCAAUGGACGAAAGUCUGACGGAGCAACGCCGCGUGAGUGAUGAAGGUUUUCGGAUCGUAAAGCUCUGUUGUUAGGGAAGAACAAGUACCGUUCGAAUAGGGCGGUACCUUGACGGUACCUAACCAGAAAGCCACGGCUAACUACGUGCCAGCAGCCGCGGUAAUACGUAGGUGGCAAGCGUUGUCCGGAAUUAUUGGGCGUAAAGGGCUCGCAGGCGGUUCCUUAAGUCUGAUGUGAAAGCCCCCGGCUCAACCGGGGAGGGUCAUUGGAAACUGGGGAACUUGAGUGCAGAAGAGGAGAGUGGAAUUCCACGUGUAGCGGUGAAAUGCGUAGAGAUGUGGAGGAACACCAGUGGCGAAGGCGACUCUCUGGUCUGUAACUGACGCUGAGGAGCGAAAGCGUGGGGAGCGAA
rnacentral:rRNA from 1 species